GCCCAAUUAGCUCAGUGGUUAGAGCGAGUGAUUGCAGUUAUAUCUGAUUAUCACUAGGUCGCUUGUUCGAGUCAGGCAUUGGGCU